ensembl:snoRNA
AUUCUUUUGUAGUUUAUAAGGAUGACAGUUGAGUUUUCACGUGCAUGUGUGAGAUGUUUCUCCCUCAAACCUUGUUACCACAAUGGCACAUUACUCAUGUAAUG